AGAGUUUGAUCCUGGCUCAGGAUGAACGCUAGCGGCAGGCCUAAUACAUGCAAGUCGAGCGGCAAGUCGAGGAGUAAUCUGAGACCUAGAGCGGCGCACGGGUGCGUAACGCGUAUGUAACCUACCCUAUACAGGGGGAUAGCCCGGAGAAAUCUGGAUUAAUACCCCAUGGCACUUCGAUCCAGCAUUGGGUUGCAGUUAAAGAUUUAUCGGUAUAGGAUGGACAUGCGUCUGAUUAGCUAGUUGGCGGUGUAACGGACCACCAAGGCGACGAUCAGUAGGGGUUCUGAGAGGAAGGUCCCCCACACUGGCACUGAGAUACGGGCCAGACUCCUACGGGAGGCAGCAGUAGGGAAUAUUGGGCAAUGGACGAGAGUCUGACCCAGCCAUGCCGCGUGCAGGAAGAAGGCGUUCUGCGUUGUAAACUGCUUUUAUCUGGGAAGAAAAGGCCCAUGCGUGGGACAUUGCCGGUACCAGAUGAAUAAGCACCGGCUAACUCCGUGCCAGCAGCCGCGGUAAUACGGAGGGUGCAAGCGUUGUCCGGAUUUAUUGGGUUUAAAGGGUGCGUAGGCGG
rnacentral:rRNA from 1 species